rnacentral:rRNA from 1 species
GACGAACGCUGGCGGCGUGCUUAACACAUGCAAGUCGAACGGAAAGGCCCUGCUUUUGCGGGGUGCUCGAGUGGCGAACGGGUGAGUAACACGUGAGUAACCUGCCCUUGACUUUGGGAUAACUUCAGGAAACUGGGGCUAAUACCGGAUAGGAGCUCCUGCUGCAUGGUGGGGGUUGGAAAGUUUUGGCGGUUGGGGAUGGACUCGCGGCUUAUCAGCUUGUUGGUGGGGUAGUGGCUUACCAAGGCUUUGACGGGUAGCCGGCCUGAGAGGGUGACCGGCCACAUUGGGUCUGAGAUACGGCACAGACUCCGACGAGAGGCAGCAGUGGGGAAUAUUGCACAAUGGGCGGAGGCCUGAUGCAGCAACUCCGCGUGCGGGAUGACGGCCUUCGUGGUGUAAACCGCUUGCGCCUGUGACGAAGCGUGUUUGACGGUAAUGAGUAGAGAAAGACCGGCUAACUACGUG